rnacentral:rRNA from 1 species
UACGUAGGGUGCAAGCGUUGUCCGGAAUUAUUGGGCGUAAAGAGCUCGUAGGCGGUUUGUCACGUCGGCUGUGAAAACCUGGGGCUCAACCCCGGGCCUGCAGCCGAUACGGGCAGACUGGAGUUCGGCAGGGGAGACUGGAAUUCCUGGUGUAGCGGUGAAAUGCGCAGAUAUCAGGAGGAACACCGGUGGCGAAGGCGGGUCUCUGGGCCGAUACUGACGCUGAGGAGCGAAAGCGUGGGGAGCAAACAGG